GUGCUCACUUCGGCGUCACGUACACUAGAUCUGGAAUGAUACAGAGAAGAUGAGCAUGGCCUCCUCACAGGGAUGCCAUGCAAAUUCACGAAGCAUACCGCUCACAA